GGCCACCGGCACCUUGAGCGGCUCGGGGCGUUGCUGCCCACUGGCCGGGGAACCCUCGGGCUGCCCGACCGGGAGCUGCCGGCAGCGGGGCACCGGCUUCCCGGGGUUUGGGGUGGCAGGUCUUGGAAAUGUUGCCACAGAGGUGUAGAACAGUUUCCACCUCUCCUUUCCGGGGGUUGAAACCCACUACUGUAGAGGCAAGGAAGGAAGGAAAUCCCAGACGGGAGCAGCUCCGACGUCUCUCUGUGCCAAGCACACUCUGUAGGAGGACAAGUCAAUGCCAGCUGCGUGUCUAAGCUAUAGCUAUUAUUCUAUUGUAUUUCCAGUAGAGGAGCAAACACAUGGAGAGAUGGAAAUGGGUUCUUUCUCUAGGAAACAAAACCAGUGACAUUUCAGCCUGGCCUGACUAGCAAGUAAUGAGUGCUGCCAUCCUAUCAACACAAGUUUGCCUUCUCUAGUGAAGCUCUUAAAUCACACAAAACACCUUCAGAAGCAAGUAAGAUUAUCACAAUAAUCAUCCAUAUAUCCCAAUAUACUUCUCGAGGGCACCUGAUGAGAAGAAUGGUCCCUUACACUGCCUUCAUGAUUCCUUCAUUUAGUGACCAAGGGAUUCCUCAUAUGGAAGCAUUUGUGAUCUUUUCCCUUUGGUGAUGUUUGUUGCACAAUGAGGCUGAUCACUGCCAGGAUAACAGCCUGGGCUUUGUUGGGAAGUGUGAUGUAAUGGGCAUUCCUUGCAGUUUUUAUGCAAACACCUUUUUUUCCCUGGCUCCCACUGGUGCAUGUAAACUACUUGGCAAACAAUGAAACACUUAAGUGACGUGCUCUUUUUUUAUUGCAAUAACUUUUAUCUCUGCUAAGGACUAGUUCUUGGUAAAUUCUUCUUUGAAAGACCAAUGAUUGCCUUCAAACUUUCAAGACUUACUGCUUGGCAGUGAUGGGAAUUAUGAUGUAUGUACAGUUUUAGGAAAACUCUUCUCUGCAAAUCCUGCAAAGAAGUAUCUGUUCUCCAAAGACCUCCUCUGGCCUGACUUUUCCAGCACUUCUGGAUCCCCAAGGAGAGCAUGAAGACAGGGAGAAAAUGUGCCUACCACUUGUGCCUAUGGAGAGAUUUAGGAAAAUACUUGAUGGCUGGGUCACUUAUCCCUUCUGCUUCCUAUAAAUGCUCUGUGGCUACAGCUGUGAUAAAAGGGAAAUUCCGAUGUAUCCUUGAUGCUGUUCCAUUGCUUCUAGUAACAUUGGGAAAGUGAAGCCACUGCAAGCCUUUGAUCACUCCUGGGGUACAGGAAGAAUGCCAGCAGCUGCUCCAGAUUAUGCUCCCACCACUCCUGUGCCUGUGGGGAUGUGCUCAUGCUGCACCAAGGCACAGGGGCUUCCCCAGGGACCAGUGACCAUCCCAGUCCU